rnacentral:rRNA from 1 species
CCAAUAGCGUAUAUUAAAGUUGUUGCAGUUAAAAAGCUCGUAGUUGAAUUUCGGGGUUAGUAGGUUGGUCGUGCCACUGGUACGUACUGGCCUUACUGAUUCCUCCUUCUUGAAGAACCGUAAUGCCAUUAAUUUGGUGUUGCGGGGAAACAGGACUGUUACUUUGAAAAAAUUAGAGUGUUUAAAGCAGGCUAUUGCCUGAAUACAUUAGCAUGGAAUAAUGAAAUAGGACGUUGAUCCUAUUUUUUUGGUUUCUAGGAUUGACGUAAUGAUUAAUAGGGAUAGUUGGGGGCAUUAGUAUUCAAUUGUCAGAGGUGAAAUUCUUGGAUUUAUUGAAGACUAACUACUGCGAAAGCAUUUGCCAAGGAUGUUUUCAUUAAUCAAGAACGAAAGUUAGGGGAUCGAAGACGAUCAGAUACCGUCGUAGUCUUAACCAUAAACUAUGCCGACUAGGGAUCGGAUGAUGUUAAUUUUUUAAUGACUCAUUCGGCGCCUUACG